UACGUAGGGGGCUAGCGUUGUCCGGAUUUACUGGGCGUAAAGGGCGCGUAGGCGGCACCGCAAGUCGACUGUGAAAUCUCCGGGCUUAACCCGGAAAGGUCAGCCGAUACUGCGGGGCUAGAGUGCAGAAGGGGCAACUGGAAUUCUCGGUGUAGCGGUGAAAUGCGUAGAUAUCGAGAGGAACACCUGCGGCGAAGGCGGGUUGCUGGGCUGACACUGACGCUGAUGCGCGAAAGCUAGGGGAGCGAACGGG
rnacentral:rRNA from 1 species